UCCGAUUUGUCACCGGCGGUCUCCCAUGAGUCCCCGACAUUACUCGCUGGCAACAUGGGACAAGGGUUGCGCUCGUUGCGGGACUUAACCCAACAUCUCACGACACGAGCUGACGACAGCCAUGCACCACCUGUCACCCGGCCACAAGGGGGGCACCAUCUCUGAUGCUUUCCGGGCGAUGUCAAGCCUUGGUAAGGUUCUUCGCGUUGCGUCGAAUUAAGCCACAUGCUCCGCUGCUUGUGCGGGCCCCCGUCAAUUCCUUUGGGUUUCAGCCUUGCGACCGUACUCCCCGGGCGGGAUACUUAAUGCGUUAGCUUCGCCACGAAGGGAUUCAAUCCCCCUCACAGCAAGUAUCCAUCGUUUAGGGCUAGGACUAC
rnacentral:misc_RNA from 1 species